UUUACCAAGAAAUCACAUGAUAAAGUUAUAUUUCGCUUUAUAUGAAAUAGUUUCAGGUCUAUAUAGAACAUCACAAACUGUUUGAAAUCAUCAAGUAACACUUAAGACACCAGUGAAAGCAUAGGCGCAUACCUCUUGUUGUCAAAAAAAACCCCAACUAAAUAUGAAAAGGCAAUCUUAUGGAUGGCCAGAUGAUGACGAUGAUGAUGAUGAUGAGUGUGUUAUACAAUGACACUUGCUCAUUGGAUAUGUUUCAACAACAUGAGAAGAGUUCCAGCUGAAGUAUUUUUUUGAAACAUUUCGGAACAUAUAACCAAGUUAUGUGAAACAUAUUAGUAUAAUAAAACUGUUCAACAUGUA